UACGGGGGGGGCAAGCGUUGUUCGGAAUUCCUGGGCGUAAAGGGCUCGUAGGCGGCCAACUAAGUCAGACGUGAAAUCCCUCGGCUUAACCGGGGAACUGCGUCUGAUACUGGAUGGCUUGAAUCCGGGAGAGGGAUGCGGAAUUCCAGGUGUAGCGGUGAAAUGCGUAGAUAUCUGGAGGAACACCGGUGGCGAAGGCGGCAUCCUGGACCGGCAUUGACGCUGAGGAGCGAAAGCCAGGGGAGCAAACGGG
rnacentral:rRNA from 1 species